AACGAACGCUGGCGGCGUGGAUAAGACAUGCAAGUCGAACGAGAGAAUUGCUAGCUUGCUAAUAAUUCUCUAGUGGCGCACGGGUGAGUAACACGUGAGUAACCUGCCCCCGAGAGCGGGAUAGCCCUGGGAAACUGGGAUUAAUACCGCAUAGUAUCGAGAGAUUAAAGCAGCAAUGCGCUUGGGGAUGGGCUCGCGGCCUAUUAGUUAGUUGGUGAGGUAACGGCUCACCAAGGCGAUGACGGGUAGCCGGUCUGAGAGGAUGUCCGGCCACACUGGAACUGAGACACGGUCCAGACACCUACGGGUGGCAGCAGUCGAGAAUCAUUCACAAUGGGGGAAACCCUGAUGGUGCGACGCCGCGUGGGGGAAUGAAGGUCUUCGGAUUGUAAACCCCUGUCAUGUGGGAGCAAAUUAAAAAGAUAGUACCACAAGAGGAAGAGACGGCUAACUCUGUGCCAGCAGCCGCGGUAAUACAGAGGUCUCAAGCGUUGUUCGGAAUCACUGGGCGUAAAGCGUGCGUAGGCUGUUUCGUAAGUCGUGUGUGAAAGGCGCGGGCUCAACCCGCGGACGGCACAUGAUACUGCGAGACUAGAGUAAUGGAGGGGGAACCGGAAUUCUCGGUGUAGCAGUGAAAUGCGUAGAUAUCGAGAGGAACACUCGUGGCGAAGGCGGGUUCCUGGACAUUAACUGACGCUGAGGCACGAAGGCCAGGGGAGCGAAAGGGAUUAGAUACCCCUGUAGUCCUGGCAGUAAACGGUGCACGCUUGGUGUGCGGGGAAUCGACCCCCUGCGUGCCGGAGCUAACGCGUUAAGCGUGCCGCCUGGGGAGUACGGUCGCAAGAUUAAAACUCAAAGAAAUUGACGGGGACCCGCACAAGCGGUGGAGUAUGUGGCUUAAUUCGAUGCAACGCGAAGAACCUUACCUGGGCUUGACAUGUAAUGAACAACAUGUGAAAGCAUGCGACUCUUCGGAGGCGUUACACAGGUGCUGCAUGGCCGUCGUCAGCUCGUGUCGUGAGAUGUUUGGUUAAGUCCAGCAACGAGCGCAACCCCUGUUGCCAGUUACCAGCACGUGAAGGUGGGGACUCUGGCGAGACUGCCCAGAUCAACUGGGAGGAAGGUGGGGACGACGUCAGGUCAGUAUGGCCCUUAUGCCCAGGGCUGCACACGUACUACAAUGCCCAGUACAGAGGGGGCCGAAGCCGCGAGGCGGAGGAAAUCCUGAAAACUGGGCCCAGUUCGGACUGUAGGCUGCAACCCGCCUACACGAAGCCGGAAUCGCUAGUAAUGGCGCAUCAGCUACGGCGCCGUGAAUACGUUCCCGGGUCU
rnacentral:rRNA from 1 species